rnacentral:rRNA from 1 species
GUGAACGCUGGCGGCGUGCCUAACACAUGCAAGUCGAACGGAAACUAUUUGAGAUUACAUCAAGAGUAGUUUUAGUGGCAAACGGGUGAGUAACACAUGGGUGAUCUACCUCUAGGAGAGAAAUAAUUCGCCGAAAGGCGAACUAAUGUCUCGUAAGAUCACAGUUCUUCCUCCGAAGAACAGGGAUUAAAGCUUCGCAAGGAGCACCUGGAGAUGAGCCCGUGGCCUAUCAGCUAGUGGUGAGGUAAUGGCUCACCAAGGCUAAGACGGGUAUCCGGCCUGAAAGGGCGACCGGACACACUGGAAACUGAGACACGGUCCAAGACUCCUACGGGAGGCAGCAGUGGGGAAUUUUGGACAAUGGGGGAAACCCUGAUCCAGCAACGCCGCGUGAAGGAUGAAGGUCUUCGGAUCGUAAACUUCUUUAUAGGGACGAAAGAUCCUGUGAAGAGCAGGAAGUGACGGUACCCUGUGAAUAAGCCACGGCUAACUUCGUGCCAGCAGCCGCGGUAAAUACGAAGGUGGCAAGCGUUACUCGGAAUUCUACUAGGCGUAAAGCGCAGGUAGGUGGUUAGGUAAGUCUGUGAUGAAAUCUCCCGGCUUAACUGGGAGAGGUUCAUAGAUACUGCCUAGCUAGAGUGUGGGAGGGGAUGCUGGAAUUCCUGGUGUAGCGGUGAAAUGCGUAGAUAUCAGGAGGAACACCAAAUGGCGAAAGCAGGCAUCCUGGCCCAAUACUGACACUGAGCUGCGAAAGCUAGGGGAGCAAACAGGAUUAGAUACCCUGGUAGUCCUAGCCGUAAACUAUGUAGAUUAGAUAUGGGGGGUAUCGACCCCCUCCGUGUCGACGCUAACGCAUUAAAUCUACCGCCUGGGAGUACGGCCGCAAGAUUGAAACUCAAAGGAAUUGACGGGGACCCGCACAAGCGGUGGAGUAUGUGGUUUAAUUCGACGCAACGCGAAAAACCUUACCUGGGCUCGAACGACCGGAAGUAGUUUUGAUGAAGGUCGAAAUGAUCUGUAAAAUCAGAAGCCGGCCGAGGUGCUGCAUGGUUGUCGUCAGCUCGUGUCGUGAGAUGUUGGGUUAAGUCCCGCAACGAGCGCAACCCUCAUCCUAUGUUGCUAACCCGCAAGGGUGCACUCUUAGGAAACUGCCCACGAUGAGUGGGAGGAAGGUGGGACGACGUCAAAUCCUCAUGGCCUUUAUGUCCAGGGCUACACACGUACUACAAUGGUCGGUACAGAGGGCUGCAAGACCGCAAGGUGGAGCCAAUCCCUAAAAACCGACCCCAGUUCAGAUUGUGGGCUGCAACUCGCCCACAUGAAGGUGGAAUCGCUAGUAAUCGCGAAUCAGAAGGUCGCGGUGAAUACGUUCCCGGUCUUGUACACACCGCCCGUCGCACCACGAAAGCCCAUUGCAACAGAAGUGCCCUCUUUAGAGGGUCCCAAAGUGUGAUUGGUGAUUGGGGUG